CACAUCUUAUGCAAGUCUUUUAUAAGUUUUUACUAUUUCUUUUCCAUAUGGGUUGACUCGCUCCGUCUCCAGUUUCCGCCACCAUGAUUUCUCGUUUGUCUACUCCAGCACUGAUAAUUGGCUUCUGUCUUGUGUCAGUGAUGUAAAAGAAGGAUUUAAUGCGACAUGACCAUUCAAACAGCAGUCGCUUUUUAAAACAUCAGAUAUGUAUCGGAUUCAGUACCACAUACAAAAGUGACCUAGGUCGGAUUUGAAAAUAUCGGACUUGUGCUGUUCAAACUGUCAUACCAUGAUCGGAUAUGGGUCGCAUGCAGUGUGAACGCAGCCUUAGUUAAACUCACCAGGUGUGUGUGAACAGUAUGGUUGUAAUUAUGUAUAGCAUGUAUGAGCACUUGCACUCACACAUUAAGUAUAAUCACAGCAAUCUAAACAAUUUUUAAAUUUUUUUUAAUUUAUUUAUUUUUAUUUAAUUUUAAUUUGUUUGUUUUUUUCAUGGAAAGCCAAACUGAGCCGAAUUGAAUUGUCAAAGUUGCCUGCCCGCCCAAAUCAUAUGGUCUGCUGCUGUGGCCUCUUCUUCCUCUCAGCCUUAAUUCAUCUUUCUCUAUCUUUGACUGAAGUUAUCUCAAAUUUAUUUCUCUUCCAGUUAAACGCAGCAGCUGCAGCUUUAACUAGCUGAGGAGUGUGACUGCGGCAAACUGCACAGAAAAUUUGUGUAAUUUCUGAUGUUCAUUGGGCUGUUUUCAAAGUUACAUCUAAAAUUACCUGCCACUUAAAAAGUUAAGCUAAGCUAAUAUGAACACUGCUGAAUUUCCUUCUUCACUGGUAUUAGUUUAAGUCUGUUGAGCAUUUGACGUGUCGAGGAGUUAAGUGCUAAUGGAACUAGCUAGCUAUAUACUUGCUAGAUAUAAAAGUACCACAACCACAACUUCCUGACACUUUUACCCUGUAGAACAGUGUUAAUAGUGUUGUAAAUAAUGCAUAAAUGUUUUUGGCUUCUUUUAUCUCUUUGUGUGCCAUAAUAACUAAUGAUGAAUACAUCAUUAUUGUAUUCAUCAUGCAUCAUCAGUGCUUCUUCCCUAAAAGUCUGUUUGAUUUUUGAAACCGAAUUUUAU
ensembl:lncRNA